GAUAACUAAACAUUUGCUUCUUCAAUUUCAAAUUGUGUGGCCCUGUAUGUUGAUAUGUUCCUACAACUGCUUCAUCAAAUGCUUGUGAUGAAUACAUGGCUUUUCAUAUUUUUCACCCACUUAGUUUUACUUUAGUUUUAACUCUCUUCAGGUUCAGAGUCCAACAGCAUGUCUGUGCUCCAGCAGCCAGUGUUUGAGUCAGUCCAGCCAGGAGACUCUGUGACUCUGAACUGUACAAUACACAUUGAGACCUGUGUAGGACAACACAGUGUCUAUUGGUUCAGACAUGGCUCAGGAGAAUCCCAUCCAGGAAUAAUUUAUACCCAUGGAGACAGGGGUGAUCAGUGUGAGAACAGCCCUGAGGUUGGGUCUCCUACACAGAGCUGUGUCUACAAUCUCCCCAAGAGGAACCUCAACCUCUCUGAUGCUGGGACUUACUACUGUGCUGUGGCCUCAUGUGGGGAGAUACUGUUUGGGAACGGGACCAAGCUGGACAUUGACCAUGGUUGUAAGGAGGACCAUCUUCCUUUCAUGUACUUCCUGAAGCGUAUUGGAUGA